GUGCGUGUGUGUGCGUGUGCGUGUGUGUCUUUUAUAUUCAGUGGAUUGGAAAUUUCUUGAACUAUUGUUGUUAAAACAUGAUUUAUUCUUCCUGAAAUAAUUGUGGAUUUUGACAUGAUUUAUGUUAUAAAUCCUAGAUUCUGGCACAGUAUGUCCUUGAUUUAGAUAGAAAAUUAGCCAUAUAGGCACAAGUGGAAGUGUCUGAUACAAUGCCCUGGGGAAAGGAGGAUUUCCGAUAACUAGAUGUCUGUGCCUAUUGGGCUAUAAGAAGGGACAAUCCUCUCCAUCUUAGGAUACAUUAUGUAGUUCACUAGUCACAUUCUUUAUAUGGCUCCUCUAAGUGACCAUUGUUACCAAAAAUGUGUAUUGUGUUGGCUUUCCUAUAAUGUUACAAGCAAAGUUCAAA
rnacentral:misc_RNA from 1 species